AUUGAACGCUGGCGGCAGGCCUAACACAUGCAAGUCGAACGCGUGGCGGACGGGUGAGUAAUGUCUGGGAAACUGCCUGAUGGAGGGGGAUAACUACUGGAAACGGUAGCUAAUACCGCAUACCAUCGGAUGUUCCCAGAUGGGAUUAGCUAGUAGGUGGGGUAUAGGCUAACCUAGGCCACGAUCCCUAGCUGGUCUGAGAGGAUGACCAGCCACACUGGAACUGAGACACGGUCCAGACUCCUACGGGAGGCAGCAGUGGGGAAUAUUGCACAAUGGGCGAAAGCCUGAUGCAGCCAUGCCGCGUGUAUGAAGAAGGCCUUCGGGUGGUAAAGUACUUUCAGCGGGGAGGCGUUACCCGCAGAAGAAGCACCGGCUAACUCCGUGCCAGCAGCCGCGGUAAUAC
rnacentral:rRNA from 1 species